GACGAACGCUGGCGGCGUGCUUAACACAUGCAAGUCGAACGGUAAGGCCCUUCGGGGUACACGAGUGGCGAACGGGUGAGUAACACGUGGGUGAUCUGCCCUGCACUUCGGGAUAAGCCUGGGAAACUGGGUCUAAUACCGGAUAGGACCACUGCCUGCAUGGGGUGUGGUGGAAAGCGUUUGCGGUGUGGGAUGGGCCCGCGGCCCAGCAGCUUGUUGGGGGGGUGAUGGCGAACCAAGGCGACGACGGGUAGCCGGCUGGAGAGGGUGACCGGCCACACAGGGACUGAGAUAGGGCCCAGACGCCUACGGGAGGCAGCAGUGGGGAAUAUUGCACAAUGGGCGCAAGCCUGAUGCAGCGACGCCGCGUGAGGGAUGACGGCCUUCGGGUUGUAAACCUCUUUCAGCACCGACGAAGCGCAAGUGACGGUAGGUGCAGAAGAAGGACCGGCCAACUACGUGCCAGCCGCCGCCGUAA
rnacentral:rRNA from 1 species